CAGCACCUCAAGUGGUCAGGAUGAUUAUUGGGCCUAAAGCAUCCGUAGCCGGCGCUGUAAGUUUUCGGUUAAAUCUGUACGCUCAACGUACAGGCUGCCGGGAAUACUGCAGCGCUAGGGAGUGGGAGAGGUAGACGGUACUCGGUAGGAAGGGGUAAAAUCCUUUGAUCUAUUGAUGACCACCUGUGGCGAAGGCGGUCUACCAGAACACGUCCGACGGUGAGGGAUGAAAGCUGGGGGAGCAAACCGGAUUAGAUACCCGAGUAGUCCU
rnacentral:rRNA from 1 species